UGUUGAUUUCGACUUGCAUCGAUGAAAUAUUUGGCGUUAAAUAACUUUAAAUGACAAAUUUUAGCUCGUGAAAUCACAACAGUCAUAUAUGUAUAUAAUUUCCUAAUGUUUUCAUUACUCAGUCAAGUUUUUCUAAACAUUCUAUAAGAUUGUUCUAAAAAAUCAUUUCUUAAGAGACAUGCGUUCAUCACGUCCAGUUCUUCAAUUAUAUCGCUGUGGAUCAUCCGACAUUUACUCUUUAGAGACAUUCCCAGUGAAAAGUCUACGUGCAGGUAUAUCUAGCAGUACUAGCAGUUCUAGCAGUUCUGUCACCCGUGAAGCCUGCUGCACACGUGGUUCGCGCCACUCGUGCUACACCAUUGGCACCGUCGGAAGCAAAACUUGCAAUACUUGCAACACCAGCGCAAGACGUUCAUCACAGUUGCCGCUCGUCACCAGCAAAUAUUCCAAGAGACAUUGUUAUAUCGGUUGCAUGGCGAAACUCAUAGAUUCUUUUUUGAAUAAUUACACGUAAUUUUUACAAUA